UACGUAGGGGGCAAGCGUUGUCCGGAUUUAUUGGGCGUAAAGAGCGUGUAGGCGGCCAGGUAGGUCAGCUGUGAAAACUCGAGGCUCAACCUCGAGACGUCGGUUGAAACCACCUGGCUAGAGUCCGGAAGAGGAGAGUGGAAUUCCUGGUGUAGCGGUGGAAAUGCGCAGAUAUCAGGAGGAACACCGGUGGCGAAGGCGGGUCUCUGGGCAGUAACUGACGCUGGAGGAGCGAAAGCGUGGGGAGCGAACAGG
rnacentral:rRNA from 1 species